UGACGCGGCGGCGGCCUGAACACAUCCAAGUCUNACGGUAACAGAGAGGUAGCUUGCACCUUUGCUNGACAGAGCGGCUGGACGGGUGAGUAAUGCUUGGGAACAUGCCGUUGACGGUCGGGGGACAACAGUUGGAAACAGAGCUGCUAAUACCGCAUAAUGUCUACGGAUCCAAAUGGGCGGCUUCGGUCUCUCGCCUUUAAAUUGGCCCAAUGUGAGAGAUUCAGCUAGCUUGGUGAGGUAAUGGCUCACCUAAGGCGACGAUCCCUAGCCUGGUUUUGAGAUGGAUGAUCAGCCACACUGGGUACUGAGACAUCGGCCCAGACUCCUACGGGAGGCAGCANUGGGGAAUAUUGCACAAUGGGCGCAAGCCAUGAUGCACCCAUGCCGCAGUGUGUGAAAAANGCCCUUCGAGGUUGUAAAGCACUUUCAGUCAGGAGGAAAGGUUGAGUAGUUAUAGUACCUGCUAGCUGUGACGUUACUGACAGAAGAAGCACCGGCUAACUCCGUGCCAGCAGCCGCGGUAAUACGGAGGGUGCGAGCGUUAAUCGGAAUUACUGGGCGUAAAGCGUACGCAGGCGGUUUGUUAAAGCGAGAUGUGAAAGCCCUGGGCUCAACCUGGGAACUGCAUUUCGAAACUGGGCAAAACUAAGAGUUGUGAUAGGAGGGUGGUAGAAUUUUCAGGGUGUAGCCGGUGAAAUGCGUAAGAUCUGAAGGAAUACCGAUGGCGAAAGGCCGCCACCUNGGGUCAACACUGACGCUCAUGUACGAAAAGCUUGGGGAGCAACGGGAUAGAU
rnacentral:rRNA from 1 species